GGGGCUGUAGCUCAAUGGCAGAGCACUUGCCUAGCACGUGUGAGGCACUGGAUUCAAUCCUCAGCACCA
rnacentral:tRNA from 1 species